rnacentral:rRNA from 1 species
AUACGUAGGGGGCGAGCGUUGUCCGGAAUGAUUGGGCGUAAAGGGCGCGUAGGCGGCCCGGUAAGUCUGGAGUGAAAGUCCUGUUUUUAAGAUGGGAAUUGCUUUGGAUACUGUCGGGCUUGAGUGCAGGAGAGGUAAGUGGAAUUCCCAGUGUAGCGGUGAAAUGCGUAGAGAUUGGGAGGAACACCUGUGGCGAAGGCGACUUACUGGACUGUAACUGACGCUGAGGCGCGAAAGUGUGGGGAGCAAACAGGAUUAGAUACCCUGGUAGUCCACACUGUAAACGAUGAAUGCUAGGUGUAGGGGGUAUCGACCCCUUCUGUGCCGCAGUCAACACAAUAAGCAUUCCGCCUGGGGAGUACGGCCGCAAGGUUGAAACUCAAAGGAAUUGACGGGG